rnacentral:lncRNA from 1 species
AUGAUUUAUGAUCAUGUUUAUGUUUCAGGAGUAAAUAUUCCGUCCGACCUGAAACUGUUUCCAGCGGUUGGAGUAACAUGUCUGCUGUUCAGCGUCUCAGAGAGUUUAUCACCGAGGAGGAGGAGGACAUGUUGGAGUCUGAGGAAGACUCUGGUGAUGAGGAGCCUCACAGAGCAGCAUGUCUGUGAGGAGGAGGAAAUCCUCACUGACCAGGAGAGGAGCUCCAGUGUGGAGCAGGAGGAACCAGAACCUCCACAGAUUAAAGAGGAACAGGAGGAACUGUGCAGCAGUCAGGAGGGAGAGCAGCUGGGACUGAAGGAGGAGACUGAUACCUUUAUGGUGACUACUGCUGAGGAAGGAGAGCACAGUGAACCAGGAGGAGACGGGGAGCAGCUCCUCUGUCACAGAUCUGCUGUAGCUGAGAGUCAGCAUCUGGAAGGAGGCAGGAGUGCAGACUCAGGACGUCUGAAAUUAGGAACAGAAGUGACAGCAGGAGGUUCCCCUACAUCAGAGAGUCGGUGUAACUCUGACAUGGGUAAAAAGCCUGUAAACUGUGAUAGUUGUGGGAAGGACAGAAUCCACACAGGUGAAGAGUGUGGGAAAAACUUCAGUUCUCGCUCUAACCUGAGCGUCCAUGUGAGAGCCCACACAGGCGAGAAGCCGGAUUCAUGUGAAACACGGAAAAAGGAGAAAUCCAUGUGAAAGGUGGACUGUUUCCAUGGCAACUUUCUGUCUGUCCUAGCCAAAGAUGCUCGUACAACCGAAACUCUCAAACUCAAGAACAGUUAAGAGAUGGGAGCGGUAUUCUGUGAAACAGAGUAAAGGUUUCAUUUAAAGCAGUGAAACAGGAAAAGCUGCCUGAGGUUUAAGUGAAGCUGCGCUUUCAGCAGUCACGUCUCUGUGCAGAUUAUUCAUAAACACAGUCUGAUUUUAUCUGUCUUUGCAUCCUUUUUUAUUUAUUUUAUGCUUCAAAUUGUGUAAUAAACAAAAUCUGAUGAUAUUUGUCUUUGAAUGUGACUAAACCUAAAACUACAGCUGCCUUCUAACUGUGCUGUUUCCACAUCAGGACAGAAUUAAUAACACUCAAUGUCCCAGGUGCUGUUAAACAGAGCAGAGAGCUUUAACAAACAUCCUGCUUUUAUUUUGGAUGCUUGUAAUUUGAUGGAUGGAAGGUGGGGGGGAGGUCCUUAUCUACACAGUGAUGGUAACUGUUCUGACCAUUAGAGAAAUCAUCAUGUAAAUGAAACUCUGUAAAGCACCGGUAAAAAUGAAUAAAUAAAAGUAUGCUGAUAUUGGAACAGUCAGCUCGUAGCUCUCACAAAGAGUAGAUGGCUCCUGCCUGAGUGCUGAUGCAGCAGAGGGGAAGCAGGUCACCCCUCCCUCCCUCACCUCCAGCUGUUUUCCUCCCAGACUGAAAGAAACCAGUUCAGCAGCUGUCUGCAGCCCAGAUGUUUCCUCUGUUUGUAGUGUAUGUGUAUAUUAAACUGUUUCCUGCGUGGGUCUAGUGUCACUGCUUUGUUCAUAAUGGCCUCUCUUAGUGAACUUGAACGUGGAUGUUUUAUAUUCUCUGUACAGCUUCACUAAGGUCCUGAAUAUUUAAACCUUUAUUUUGAAAAGAAAUACUUUUUUUUAUAUAUUUAUUUUUUACUUUAUUUGAAAUUAUAAUUUGAACAGUCAGUCAUUCCAGUUCAGUUUGUACAGUAGACAUACAGGGCAAAUAAAAGUAACAAUAUACAGUACAAUGAAAUAAGAAGGAUAAAUAAAUAAAGGAUAAAAAAAAGAGAGGGAUGUGACAGACGUCAUAACAACUUUGUACUUGAAAGUUGUAUCUGUGACAGCUUAUUCGUUAAACAUUUCUGAAUGAAUUUCAAUCAAUGAUAAACCUUUUUUAUUGGAAGUUAAUUUAAGAGAGUUUAAGUAAUAUUCAAUUUCAAUCAAAAACAAAUUAAAUGAUGGGGUUGAGUUUUGAAAUUUACAUUUAUGUAUAUGGAAUUUCCCUAAUAAGACAUAAAGAUUGACAAUGGCACAUAUUUUUUUUCUUUAGUUUCAAAAUAAGUGAUAAUGUUCUUCCCUUCAAUUUUGAUUUCGUAUUUUGAAAAGAAAUAACAAACCUGACGUCAUCAUUCUUUCUUACUGCUCUGUUCUUUGUUUUUAUCUCAUCUUUUAUUUUCUGCUCAGAGCUCGAAGCAGUUAACGGUCUCCGGAGGGCAGCGCCGCGUCAUAUCCGGUAGAAGCACCGGCGAAAUGCUUGGCCUGAACCGGAAGUGUGUUGUGUUGUUGUGUGUGAGCUGAGUGUGUGAGCCGAGUGUGUGAGCUAGUGAUGGGUAGAUGAGGCCUCGUGAAGCGUUUCAGCACAUUCCCCAAACUGUGUCGACACAAUGUUGCUGUUUUGCUCCAUACUGACACCUGCUGGACCUUAAAUAUCAUUGCAGGCAACUUACUUGAGACUCGCAACAGACACUGAUUCAAUGACCUAGUCAUACGUGUAUACACUGUAAGGUAUUGUACUUUCCAUGGAAUCAUUUUAUAUCUUUUAUAUUACAAAUAUUGUAGACAUCUUUAAAAUAUAUUGUGAAUGACAUUAAGUGAAAAUUAAAAUUAAAGUAUUGUGAAUGUAAUAUUACCCAUUUGACUCAGAGUUUAUUAUAAAUUUCUAUUCAGAAAAAUAAGUUUAUCCAAUGUUUUUGCAUUCAGUCUAUUGCGGGGGGUUUUUUGACACCAUUUCCCCAGCUUUGGAAAACAUACAGGCACAGAUGAAGCUGGGGUACACAAACUGUAAAGCCAGGUGGAAAAGGUUCAGAUAAGAUGUCUUCCUAUUCCCCCAGUACGUUAAAGGAUCCUCUGAUCUUGGAAUGUUUCUCUCCGACACUCUCCACAAUACUAAGGGGUUGGCAGUCCUUUAUAAUAAAAUUCAGGACUGCCUGGUCCAGAACAGUCUUCCUAGAUGCUUGAUUUGAAAAUAAUAAAACACACAUUAAUAAAAAAAAAAAAUGAUGAUAAAGCUGUUCAGUGUCUAUAUAGGCCUACCAGUGUUCAUUCUCGGUGUGUUUGUCUCCUCAUUUUCAUGUUUGGCUCUGUAAUGCCUAAACACGGAGGAGGUGCUUUUGUUUGUGUAAGAAACGCAGACCAGAUGCGACAUUUAACCUGCAUAAAAUGAAAUAAAUAAUUUACACUUCAAGUCACAUUGCUGUUUUUCCUAUUCUGAUAGAUUACACUGAAACAAAGACAGACAAACAGUUACCUUAUUUGCAGUGAAAAGAUCAAAAUGAUCCCGCACAGCAGAAACAUUUCUUUUUCUUUCAGGCUCCAUUUUGUUUUUGGAGAGAUGUGUAUUUUUUUUUUUUUUUAAAUCUUUGCGAGAGUAAUUUUGUGUGUUUUUUGGUGGCGACUCAUUCCGUUGGCAGAUGCGGAUGCGGUACCUUUUAAACACAGUUUGGAGCGUUGGCAAUGAGCGAUACAGCAGCUGUAUCGAUCACGUGACUUUUUCUUAAAGCGACGCACGCACCGAUACAGGCAUCGCUAGGUGAGCUUGAUACAAGCGUCGGUGCGUCAGUGUUGCAGGACCCAUCACUAG